rnacentral:misc_RNA from 1 species
AAUGUCUUCCAUCACUGACGUGUAAUAUGUGAAUUUCAGUUAGAUAUAAACGAUCGAGGAAUACUCGAGCGAUCAGAGCAAAGUCGUAUGUAAUAGAUCUGCGAGGUUGCCCUGACUAUUAUGAGGCUGGCAAUCACUGUAAACAUCUGCGUAAGAAGGAAUCAAGUAACAAUACGUUAAUUAGCGCUCGUCAAACAGGCUCAAUGUUAUCUCAAUUCGAACAUGAUUACAUUAGAUGUUAAAGGAGUUACCAAUCUCGAUGAGUUCUACCUAUCCCACUAAAUUAAAUGCUUCGGAAAUACCAGAGAUGCUGGGCUUGCGUUAACAAAAAGCGGACAUUGAAUGCAUAUAUAUUCAUAUACUUACACAAAAAGGAUAUCACAGUUAUAAAGCUGACACAUGGCCCUGUCAUAUUAUGUUAGAACGUUUAUCCCCCGAAGUCAAAUGCUAACAGACUCUGUCGAGAUUGAGUAGGAGGGUGAACGUGUUAAGUUAUUGUUGGAUGCAUCGGAUCGAUAGAACUCUAGAACCGUCUGAAAGUUCCAAAGGCGAAAUCAUCUAGAAACUAACAUGAAUACUUUAUAGUAAUAUCGCUUACCUCAGUCAGUCUAUAGAAAAACUAAUUAGAGAGUAAGAUAACGUUAGAGCGCAAGUCAAGACAUCUUAUGCGAGCUAUCAAUCUAAACCCUAUAAUCUGAGAUAAUGAUGGCAUUGCGCGUCUUCUGCUAGCAUUUAAGGAUUAAAAGAAAUAUUUACAAAGAUUGUGAAAUAAAUUGAGGAUCAAAUAUUCGAUAUUAGGAUAACCUCGUUCUCCCCAGGUCAGUAACUACUUGAUUUAUCGAUCUAUGGGUCAAGUCUGUUGAUACGCCAAUCAAUAUGUAUCGACACGUAAUAAGUACGGAACGGCGUCGGAGGCCUUACAAAAGGAGUGCCUCGACCCCGGAGAUGGCAUCGAAAAGCCUGGCUGAAGCGAUGAGUCAAAUCGAAUGUGAACUUUUGCCUGUGACAGCAGAGCAGGAUGAGACCAUACUUGAGGAUGAUAGUAGUGAGGAGAUCAAUGAGUGCUCUAAGUUGUUGAAACAUAACGAGCUUGUGGAUAGCAAAACUAUGGCGAGUGCUGCACACACAAAAAGUCCUAAUGUAGCUCUGGAGACAGCAAAAAAGGAGAAACGAACUAGAUUUCAACCUCAUAACUCUCAUGGAUAUAUGGAUAUUCAUAAGGAAACUGAAACAAAUCUCUUGCUCAACCCCGAACACUUGGAAAAUGUGGGGACGUCAAGUACGCUUCUAAACAGAGUGAAACAGAAAUUAAAAUACAAAGUUUUGAGGGCAAGUGAAGUAGUCAUGCUCCAAACCCAGUCGGAUAUUACUGGAACAAGUCAAAGAUUCAGCUUGGAUAAAAGUGCAAUUGCGAUGCAUGAUUUGAACGCGAAUAAGCGUCUACAACGGAGCAACAGUACGCUUUCACGAACCAGGUUUCAGACAGAACCUGCCACGUCAUUAGAUAGACGCUCGAGUUUGAAAGAACAGCGAAAAAGCAGUUUUCGCCGAUAUCAUACAACAUCCUGUCAAAGUCCAAUUGAAAUACUCUCUAAUGAUAUGAAAGCAGCGUCUUUGAAACCACGUAAUGAUGAAGGUAUAGUUUGUUCGAGCGAAGAUCUUGAAUCGAUUUUAGUGGAUUUCAAGAAAACUAGUUCAAAACGACCUCCUAACAGAGCCAUGUCAAUGGACACAAGUGUUGUAAAGAAGCCAUCUGACAAACCACGAUCAGUAGAUCGCUCAAUAUCUUGCCCAAAUUCUGCGGCUAUCAGUCAUGCCAUGAAACUUCACAAUACUACUGUAAAUGAGACGUUAACAGAGAUGGUGGAGCCAGUUAAAGGGAGUCCUAGUCCAGGUGACGAUCAUGAAAAUUUGUAUCCAAAUGUCUUAGUGAAUAAAGGGGCUAAGCCAAAGACUCCAAAAAUGGGUAACGUUGAUCAUGGUCAUGUUGACACUCACCUUAACACAAGUGAGAGUUCUCGAAUUACAAUUGAUGGCGAUGAGAAAAUUACACAAGAUGAAGAGACUAUAAACCCUCGAAAAGCACCACCGGAAAUAGUAUUUGAUGAGUCUGGUCAGACAUGGGAUGUAUAUGGAGCAGAACUCGAUCCAGAAAUGUUAGGAUUGGCCAUCCAACGACACCUUGAGUCAAUGCUCAAUAAGAAACGACUUGCUAUGAAUGAAAUAAGUGAAAAACUUGAAAAGAUUGACAAUCCGGAAUUCAAAAAUAACAACACUUUUUCCUCGAUUUUUAAUUUCUUUUGCUUUUUAAAACCUGACAAAGGGAAAUGCUGAUACAUCGCAUCUGUUAAGCUGCUUCCUCAAUAACGCAUGGCUGGUAAAUCAAUAGUUUUUAUAGAUCUGAUCAUGGUUCGGAGCUGGUAAACAACAAAAUUCUUUCAAACCUAGUCUCUUGAAAAUAGAUUCACGAUAAAAUACAUACACUGUACGUAAGCAGACAGAAACAUAAGUUCAAUAUUCACAGAUCUCAUCGCCCCGGGACUUGCAUUAUAAUACAUAUGACUGUACAGUAUAGAUAUAUCCAUUGAGACCUAUAUGAUUCCACUCGGAAGUGUUAUUCAUUUUUGAAUCGCAUGUAUGUGUUUGACUGCUUCACCUGUGCAUUGUAUGAUGUUAUUUAAUGGUUGUG